rnacentral:rRNA from 1 species
UACGUAGGGUGCAAGCGUUACUCGGAAUUACUAGGCGUAAAGCGCGCGUAGGCGGUGCGGUAAGUCAGGGGUUAAAGGCUGCAGCUCAACUGCAGUAAGGCCUUUGAUACUAUCGCGCUAGAGUACCAGAGAGGAUGGCGGAAUUCCCGGUGUAGCGGUGAAAUGCGUAGAUAUCGGGAGGAAGGCCGGUGGCGAAGGCGGCCUCCUGGGCCUGCACUGACGCUGAGGCGCGAAAGCGUGGGGAGCAAACAGG